rnacentral:tRNA from 1 species
AGGGAUGUAGCUCAGUGGUAGAGUGCUUGCCUCACAGGCAAGAGGCCGUGGGUUCAAUCCCCAGUACUG